UGGGGAAUAUUGCGCAAUGGGCGAAAGCCUGACGCAGCGACGCCGCGUGAGGGAUGAAGGUUUUCGGAUCGUAAACCUCUGUCAGAAGGGAAAAAACCGCACUGUGCUAAUCAGCAGUGCCUUGACGGUACCUUCAAAGGAAGCACCGGCUAACUCCGUGCCAGCAGCCGCGGUAAUACGGAGGGUGCAAGCGUUAAUCGGAAUUACUGGGCGUAAAGCGCACGUAGGCUGCUUUGUAAGUCAGGGGUGAAAUCCCACGGCUCAACCGUGGAACUGCCUUUGAUACUGCUUAGCUUGAAUCCGGGAGAGGGUGGCGGAAUUCCAGGUGUAGGAGUGAAAUCCGUAGAUAUCUGGAGGAACAUCAGUGGCGAAGGCGGCCACCUGGACCGGUAUUGACGCUGAGGUGCGAAAGCGUGGGGAGCAAACAGG
rnacentral:rRNA from 1 species